GAUUGAAGGUCGAUCGAAAAGUUUGUGUAAGCCCAGAUUGUGACUAUUAAGAGAAAAUUCAUUAAAUCUAAAUUGUAAUUUCAGUUUGAGAAACGUAAGGUGGAAUUUAAGAAAGCAAAAGUUGGCCCGGUAGCGAAAAGUUUUAAUCAGACAUUGUGAGUGACCUAGGACUGAAAAGUGUACAAGUAGAUAAUUGUUCAAUCUGUUUCCUAUUUCUAACAAUUCUCGCAGAAGAAACCUGGAAUUAAAUGGUCUGAAAGAAAAAAAAACUAAGAAAAGUGUAGUGUGGAAUACUGCACGUGUAAUACCUCCCUCGAGGCUCAGGACACUACUAUCCUUCAAGCGAAGGUGCUAGUGUAGGGUGUAGGGGAUAGCGACCAGCCACGCUGUCUCUAGGGACGAGUCAGAAGCUCGGCGACUUGUAGGCUCGCCUCGUCGUCCGCGCCAGUAUUCGACCCUCGCGCACCCUGGGCCGAAGGAAUCCACGCCUUCCGGAGGAAUUCGGACGCUACUAACCGAAUAUCGCUCCAUCGGUCUCGAAGGGAGAUUCACACCACGUGAGCGCAUUGGCACCGCCCAUCACCACCCCGCUUGUCGAACCCCAUCGAUCGGUGUUAGCAACACGAGAACGGCUCGUAGCCACGAGUGAUAAGCACAUAUGGUGGUGUGAUAGCCCGUCAUCGUAGUUCGACUGACAGCAUCCCCGGUCGAGCGAUCGGACUGCUCGAAUUACUUCGCUAGCCGAGAGCCGAACCCUCUCCGACCCGGCAUCACGAGUGAGCAGAGAGACGGUACCGCGCACGGUGUCACGUGUACGGAUCGACCGGUAGUCCACCGGAGUGACGACGACAUCACAAGGAUACAGCCAGGACCCUCACGGCUGCAAGCAGGUCAGAUCGUUUUGGUUUUUUUUUGUAUAUGAUAAUCGUUCGCAUUGAACACCCAUAGACCCAUUUUUGGUCGAAGAAGCGUGCACGCAUUAGGGAAUAAGAGAUAACUAGAGUGUAAGAUUUUAUUGCCCCCUACCUCAUUAUAAGAUGUUUUCACCCUGAAUAGAUUUAGAACCGUUUUAUGGCACAUACUAGUAAAUUAAUCGAAAGAGGAGAGAAAACUUGAUCAUUGGUUCAGUUGGUUUUCGUCAGAGAUUUGCCCCAUCGUUCGUUGGUUCGGAAUUGAUCUUAACUUGUGACAAGGACUCGCCUUGAGGAGUCUGGCCGGGAUACUCAAGCUGAUCCACAUGCAAGCCGAUUGGAAGUGCUUGCUUGGCGCUUAAGUGGAUGCAGUUGAUACCAAUCG